AACGAACGCUGGCGGCGCGCCUAAUACAUGCAAGUCGAGCGAGAAGACGUAGCAAUACGUUUGUAAAGCGGCGAACGGGUGAGGAAUACAUGGGUAACCUACCCUCGAGUGGGGAAUAACUAGCCGAAAGGUUAGCUAAUACCGCGUACGCUCCUCGGACUUCGGUUCAGGGAGGAAAGCGAUACCGUGGGUAUCGCGCUCUUGGAUGGGCUCAUGUCCCAUCAGCUUGUUGGUGAGGUAACGGCUCACCAAGGCUUCGACGGGUAGCUGGUCUGAGAGGACGAUCAGCCACACUGGCACUGCGACACGGGCCAGACUCCUACGGGAGGCAGCAGUAAGGAAUAUUGCGCAAUGGGCGAAAGCCUGACGCAGCGACGCCGCGUGGGGGAUGAAGGUCUUCGGAUUGUAAACCCCUUUCGGGAGGGAAGAUGGAACGAGCAAUCGUUCGGACGGUACCUCCAGAAGCAGCCACGGCUAACUUCGUGCCAGCAGCCG
rnacentral:rRNA from 1 species